GAGUUUGAUCAUGGCUCAGAUUGAACGCUGGCGGUAGGCUUAACACAUGCAAGUCGUGCNAGAAAGUAUCUUCGGAUAUGAGUAGAGCGGCGGACGGGUGAGUAACGCGUAGGAAUCUACCUAGUAGAAGGGGAUAGCCCGGGGAAACCCGGAUUAAUACCGUAUACCUCCUUCGGGAGAAAGAAGGCCUCUCUUUGAAGCUUUCGCUAUUAGAUGAGCCUGCGUAAGAUUAGUUUGUUGGUGAGGUAAAGGCUCACCAAGGCUUCNAUCUUUAGCUGGUCUGAGAGGACGAUCAGCCACAUUGGGACUGAGACACGGCCCAGACUCCUACGGGAGGCAGCAGUGGGGAAUAUUGGACAAUGGGCGCAAGCCUGAUCCAGCCAUACCGCGUGUGUGAAGAAGGCCUUCGGGUUGUAAAGCACUUUAAGCAGGGAGAAAAAGUUAUAAGUUAAUACCUUAUAACCGUGAUGUUACCUGCAGAAUAAGCACCGGCUAAUUCCGUGCCAGCAGCCGCGGUAAUACGGAAGGUGCAAGCGUUAAUCGGAAUUACUGGGCGUAAAGCGCGCGUAGGUGGUUUGUUAAGUUGGAUGUGAAAGCCCUGGGCUCAACCUAGGAACUGCAUCCAAAACUAACUCACUAGAGUACGAUAGAGGGAGGUAGAAUUCAUAGUGUAGCGGUGGAAUGCGUANAUAUUAUGAAGAAUACCAGUGGCGANGGCGGCCUNCUGGAUCUGUACUGACACUGAGGUGCGAAAGCGUGGGUAGCGAACA
rnacentral:rRNA from 1 species